rnacentral:rRNA from 1 species
AUUGAACGCUGGCGGAAUGCUUUACACAUGCAAGUCGAGCGGCAGCACGGGGGCAACCCUGGUGGCGAGCGGCGAACGGGUGAGUAAUACAUCGGAACAUGCCCAGUCGUGGGGGAUAACACUUCGAAAGAAGUGCUAAUACCGCAUACGUCCUGAGGGAGAAAGCGGGGGAUCUUCGGACCUCGCGCGAUUGGAGUGGCCGAUGUCAGAUUAGCUAGUUGGUGGGGUAAAGGCCUAGCAAGGCAACGAUCUGUAGCUGGUCUGAGAGGAUGAUCAGGCACACUGGGACUGAGACACGGCCCAGACUCCUACGGGAGGCAGCAGUGGGGAAUUUUGGACAAUGGGGGCAACCCUGAUCCAGCCAUUCCGCGUGAGUGAAGAAGGCCUUCGGGUUGUAAAGCUCUUUCGGCAGGAACGAAACGGCGAGCUCUAACAUAGCUUGCUAAUGACGGUACCUGAAGAAGAAGCACCGGCUAACUACGUGCCAGCAGCCGCCGUAACAC